ACGGGGGGGGCAAGCGUUGUUCGGAAUUACUGGGCGUAAAGGGCGCGUAGGCGGUUUUGGAAGUCAUGGGUGAAAGUCCUCGGCUCAACCGAGGGAUUGCCUGUGAAACCACGGGACUGGAGUGCUGGAGAGGGAAGUGGAAUUCCCAGUGUAGCGGUGAAAUGCGUAGAUAUUGGGAGGAACAUCUGUGGCGAAGGCGGCUUCCUGGACAGACACUGACGCUGAGGCGCGAAAGCCAGGGGAGCAAACGGG
rnacentral:rRNA from 1 species